CCACAAAUGGCUGCUCAGAAGAAGUGACACUUCAGCAAGGCUGUGAUGAAUGAGGACUCAUGGAGUGCCAGGUCAUGGCCACAUGCUGCCAGACUUGCAGCCCAGCACUGGAGAUGCAGAGAAGAGAGAUGCGCUUCAGCCGCUGAAGAAGUACACACUUAAAAUUUCAAGAUGGGGAUGCCAGCAGAACAAGAAAUCAGAGGGUCAGGAUUCAAACCCCGGUCUGCACGAUUCUGGAGUUGGAGCUCCCCAAUAAUCUAUGUGCAAGAUGAAAGGGCUCAGCAUCUCCUCGUGAUCAACAUGACCCACUUGGUGACCCCAUUUGACUUCUGCCAUAUUUCUAAUGGAGCCUAAAGGGAUGCAGAUGAGGUGAGGCUAUGUGGCUGACAACAACCAAGGGACCUGGAGCUGUUUUCCCACACGGUGCUAGAUGGCCUUACUCAAGCUAGUCUGUCUCUCUGAGCUUCAUCACUUUAACCUAAAAGAUGGGGAACAUAAGCUCUGUCCUCUUCUAUUCACGAGGAGGUUGGGAGGAUAAAAUAUAUACUUAAACCAGUCAGACUAGAUGAUGAUUAAUAAUGCAGCUGUCCCUAGCCUGAACAAAACCUGAAACAGUGAAGUGAAAUAUACAAAAUAAAUUAAGC